UUUAUUUUGUGUGGGUUUGUUGUGAUUUGAGAGAAGGGUUUGGUGCUAUGGUGGUGUUUUGGCUUGAGAAAAGAAAAGGAAGGUGUAGAAUACAAGAUUAAGGGAUGGAUUUUUGAAGCUUUAGCUAUGGAGGAUUUGAUGGAAGUGACUCGUUUGAGAGCGCGAUGUAGAGCUAGUUGCCAUUGGAGUUGUCUCUUGGUUUAAACGGAUUAGUUUAGAAUCCAAAUUGUUGUAUUAUAGUUGAAUUUUAAUCUAGAUAGAAAAUUGUUGUAAUAUAGAUUGUAGUUAGAAAGCUUGUAGCCUGUGCGUUUGGGUUUAAUGAGUUGGCCCGAGCGUGGCAUAACA